rnacentral:sRNA from 1 species
GGAUGCGAUCAUAUCAACUCACAUGCCCCGGAUCUCAUCGAAACUCCGAAAUUAAGUGAGUUUGGGCGAGAGUAGUACUAGGAUGGUUAACUUCCUGUUAAGUCCUCAUGUUGCAUCUCCCUACCUCUGUUUUAUUUUUCAUAAUUGCGUAUUUUUAGUGACUUAUUUGUGACGCACGUCGUUUAUAACUGAAUCUCGUGCUUGGCCGAUGAAAGAAAAGAAUGGGAAGGACUAUUAAUUCUUCUUUUUUUUAUUUCGUGGGAUCGUCUUGAUUAAUAUUUUUUAAAUUUUGUGUGAUCGUUUUGAGUCAGUGUGAUUUGCACAUGCAUAAAGGUUAGAUGCGAUCAAAACAACUCACAUGCACCAUAUCCCAUCAAAACUCCGAUGUUAAGCAAGUUUGGGCAAGAGUUAUACUAGGAUUUUUGACCUUUCGGGAAGUCCUCGUGUUGCAUCCCCUACCUCUUUUUCUAUUUUUCAUAACUCCUUUUUGAGUAUUUUUAGCAGCUUAUUUGUGGUGCACAUCGCUUAUAACCGAGUCUCGUGCAUUGGGAUAUGAAAGAAAAGAAUGGGAAAGACUAUUAAUUCUAUUUUUUGAAUUUCUUGGGAUCGUCUUGACUAAUAUUUUGUCAUUUUGUGUGAUCAUUUUGAGCUGGUGAUUUGCACAUGCAUAAAGGUUACGGCAUCAUGGCCAAAGAAAUGGUUAUAUAAAAUUACAAGUCAUAGACUAAUGGAUGCGAUCUUACCAACUCAUAUGCACCAGAUCCCAUCAGAACUCCAAAGUUAACCGACUUUGGGUGGAGAAUAGUUCUAUGAUAGGUGACCUCCUGGGAAGUCCUUGUGUUACAUCCCCUAACCUCUUUUUUAUUUUUCAUAAUUCUUUUUUUUGUAUUUCUAGCAUUUUAUUUGUGGUUUGCGUCGUUUAUAACCGAGUCUCAUGCAUGGGAGAUGAAAGAAAAGAAUGGGAAAGACUGUUGAUUCAAUUUUUUGAUUUUUGUGGGAUCGUAUAGAUUAAUAUUUUUGAAUUUGUGUGAUCAUUUUGGGCCGUUGUGAUUUGCACAUGCAUAAAGGUUACGCGGUCCUCUCCAAAGAAAUGGUUAUAUAAAAUUACAAGUCAUAGACUAACGGAUGCGAUCAUACCAACUCACAUGCACCGGAUCCCUUCAGAAGUUCGCCGUUAAGCGAGUUUGGGCAAGAGUGGGAAAGACUCUAAAUUCCUAUUUUUGAAUUUCAUGUGAUCGUUUUGA